CCGAACACUAGGCUGUUCGAGCUAGUAUCAUUUAUUAAACGAGCUUAAAAUUUUUGUUCAAGCUCGUUUAUUUAUUUAUUGAACGAGCUUUGACCGAGCUUGUUCUCGAGCUGUUCACGAGCGUAUCGGCUCAUUGACAUCCCUAGGGAGGGGCGGUAAAUUCUUUGGGUUUUCCCGGUCACAUUGGCGCAAACUUCUGCAUAGAGAAUCGAGCUAGGAGCCUCCAUUGUUUGUAUCGCCUCAGCAGGUUAGCAUCUACUUCAUUCUUUCUCUCUCCUCAACUUCGCUCCUUCUCCUCUCUUCGCCGCCUCUCAUCACGACGCAGAAGCUUGAUAACCAUGGUGCGACAACUGAAGAGAAGGUUAUGGCACCGUUAGGCUCGUGGAAGUCGCCGAUCACUGUUGAAGUUAUGAAGUUAUCGCUGUCGUUAAGAAGAUCUUCGGUGGAAUCGCCGUCCACGGUCAUGGCCACUUUUUUGCUUGAAUCUCGUCACAAAUCUUUUGAUCUAAAAGAGUAAAUUCCCAGCUGUACGUAGCUUGCUUCAUUUGAAUUGAAAUCAAGUUUCUACACUCCUACAAGGUUUUCAACAUUUUUAACCAAUUCCAGGUAUGAUCUCUCUGUAAUUGUACGGUUUUGUCUUCCUCGAAAUUCUACAGACUGAAAUUUAUUUUUCGUUUCCAUAUGCCCAAGUGCAAUUGAGCUUGUACUUGUCUUAUACUUAGAUUUUUUAUAGUCUCAACGUUUUGUUAACUUUGUAUCUUUUAUUUUGUUGCUAUAUAUAAAUUCUUCUCUUAUUAUUGUGUAGACGAGGGGUGCAAUUGAGUGAAAGUGCGGUUAGGUGCCUGGGAAUUAUGGUUUGGGCAGUCAGGGACUUCAUUAGCGUGUCCUUGGGUACUGGAUAGUUGUCACGAAGGCGAGGCUGAAAAUUGCUUCAAGCAGUUUUGAUUAGUUCAAACAUGAGUUGUUAUUUUGUGUUUAAGUACGUGUUCAAGUACUUGUGCUUGCGUGCAGCUGGAAAUAUAUAGGAAUAUUGUAAGAUGCGGAAUGCCCAAAUUUGAUAGUAUUUUCAUCAUAUAAUAUUUUAUGAAUGUGAUUUUUUUAAUGUUCUCUUACUGAAUUCUUUUAGUUUUUGGAUGUCUCUGAAGAGUGGAGAAGCUUACAACCUCAACUCCGACAAUGGAGACAAGUUAUAGAUUAGUAUCUUUGACGUAGCUAGUUUUUUUUUUUUGUUUCUCUGUCUAAACAUACGAUUGUAUAUUUAGAAUUAAGUUUUGCAACUUACGCAUUAGAUCUUAUUGUAUCAAUAAGACAUUCAGUUUAGGAACUCGGAUAUGAGAUUAUUUUGUAUUAGCUCACUUAGCUAGUAUGGAUGAUACUUUAUUUGACUC